rnacentral:lncRNA from 1 species
ACUGGAGUGGUCAGGGCUCCGGGCAUGGCAGGUGAUGCACUCGGCGAACUGGUGGAUCGCCUGCGCGGCCAUCGGGGGAGGGGGGUGGGGCGCCGGACGGGAGCCCCGCGGCGCGGCGCGGCGGAGGCGAGCCUGGGGGUGGAGGUGGGGUGGGGAGGCGGAGGAAAUUGUCAAUGGAGGUAGGGGCCUGGCCUUGCAGGCGAAGGAAGGGAAGAGGGGAGGGGAGACAGGCAGGUACCACCACUACACUGCCACCACUGCACUAGGCUACACCGGCACCACUACGAGUAGGAUGGGCAAGCACGCGCGCCCACGGACGGACGGACGGCCCGCCAGGCCCACGCCACCGACCACGGGUCCCACCUGCC